CCGAAGUGGGGAAUUGCUUGAGCCCAGGAGUUCCAGACCAGCCUGGACAAAAUGGCAGAAACUGCAUCUCUACAAAAAAUACAAAAGUUACCUGGGCAUGAUGUUGUGUGCCUGUAGUCCCUGCUACUCAGGAGGCUGAGGUGGGAGGAUCGAUUGAGCCCAGGAGAGGGGGUUGCAGCGAACCAGGUGCCACUGCAAUCCAGCCUGGGUGACAGAGCCAGACUCUGUCUAAAAAAAAAAAAAAAAAAGAAAGAAAGAAAAGAAAAGUAGUAUUCUGAAUACAACUUCUAAAACACUAUAUUUACUUACAUUAUAUUAAACUUGUUUUACCAUGAUCAAAAUGGUAGGUGAAAGAUGCCAGAACUUUUCUAUCAGGUAAGUAGAGUAAGCCAUGUCUUGCCCAGGGUUAGAGAGCUUGGAAAAGAUCCCUCCUAAAUAAACCUGUAGGAUCACCUUUGGCUUUCUUCCAGCUUUUUUUGGUCAUCGCUUUACCUCCGCCCAUUUCCCAUCUGUCUAGCCCAUCUUUCCCCGCUGGGCUUUUUUUUUCUUUUUCUUUUUCUUUUUUUUUUUUUUUUUGAGACGGAGUUUUGCUCUUGUUACCCAGGCUGGAGUGCAAUGGCGCGAUCUCGGCUCACCGCAACCUCCGCCUCCUGGGUUCAGGCAAUUCUCCUGCCUCAGCCUCCUGAGUAGCUGGGACUACAGGCACGCGCCACCGUGCCCAGGUAAUUUUUUGUAUUUUUAGUAGGGACGGGGUUUCUCCAUGUUGACCAGGAUGGUCUCGAUCUCUUGACCUCGUGAUCCACCCGCCUCGGCCUCCCAAAGUGCUGGGAUUUCAGGUGUGAGCCACCGCGCCCGGCCCGCGCCCGGCCUUUCACUGGGCUUUUUUGCUAGCCUCUGCCUAGCCGCGGGUAUUAGUCUGGACUGCAGUCCCGCCCAUCUCCUGGGGCGUGACCACCUGUCCAGUCCCCGCCCCCGUCCAACAGGGGAGACCCGCCUCCUUUCCCGGACACCCCCCGCUCAGCGCCCUAGCGUGCGCGCGCGUCCCCGCUUGUCGCCGGGCUCCGCGUCGAGAGCGCGCUCUGUGCGGCUGCGGCCGCCAGGUUGUUGUGGUUGUGAGAAGGCGGCGGCGGCGGCGGCGGCUGCGGAGUAGCUGCGGGAUGAGACGCCCCAGCGGCUCAGGUGCUGCUCCGCGCCGGCUCUGGCAGGGAGCCUGGUGGGGUGGCGGAGGAGGAGGCCGUGCCGUGGCGGACCUCGCCGUGUCGCGCUGCCCGGCAACCACAUUAUUGUUGAAACAAGACUACAAAGAAGGAGAAAUGAUGUUGAAGUCAGCACUGGCUUUAGCUAUCAAAGUGCUAAAUAAGACCAUGGAUGUUAGUUAACUGUUUGCUGAGAAAGUGGAAAUUGCAACACUAACAAGAAAGAAUGAAAAGAUGGUAAUCAGAAGUUCUCAAACAAAAAGAAGUUGAACAGUUGAUCAAAAAACAUGAGGAAGAAGAAGCUAAAGCUGGGCCUGAGAAGAAAGAAAAAGAACAGAAAGAAAAGGAUAAAUAGACAAAAUCAGAGAUUCGGUUACUCAUUUGGGGCACCGUUUCUGUGUAAAAGCUGUCCUGCUCUUCCAAACUAAGAAGGCUUUGACUUUUUUUAACUGGUACAGUGGGAAACUAGGACAUUACAUACUGAAUUGGGUCUUUAUCAUUACUGUUUAAAUACUUUAUUGUAAUGAUGAGGGUCAUUUUCUGUGGACAUCUUAAUCUUCCACACACAUCCCCCUUUUUUGGAAUAAAAUUUGGAAAAUAGAAAUGAAGGAAUAAAUU
rnacentral:lncRNA from 13 species